rnacentral:rRNA from 1 species
GCAUGUGUAGCGGUGAAAUGCGUGGAUAUAUGGAGGAACACCGGUGGCGAAAGCGGCUCUCUGGUCUGUAACUGACGCUGAGGCUCGAAAGCGUGGGGAGCGAACAGGAUUAGAUACCCUGGUAGUCCACGCCGUAAACGAUGAGUGCUAGGUGUUGGAUCCUUUCCGGGAUUCAGUGCCGCAGCUAACGCAUUAAGCACUCCGCCUGGGGAGUACGACGCGGCCG